rnacentral:rRNA from 1 species
UACAGAGGGGGCAAGCGUUAUUCGGAAUCACUGGGCGUAAAGGGUGCGUAGGCGGGUCUUUAAGUCAGGGGUGAAAUCCUGGAGCUCAACUCCAGAACUGCCUUUGAUACUGAAGAUCUUGAGUUCGGUAGAGGUGAGUGGAACUGCGAGUGUAGAGGUGAAAUUCGUAGAUAUUCGCAAGAACACCAGUGGCGAAGGCGGCUCACUGGCCCGAUACUGACGCUGAGGCACGAAAGCGUGGGGAGCAAACAGG